rnacentral:rRNA from 2 species
AACGAACGCUGGCGGCAGGCUUAACACAUGCAAGUCGAACGCCCCGCAAGGGGAGUGGCAGACGGGUGAGUAACGCGUGGGAAUCUACCGUGCCCUGCGGAAUAGCUCCGGGAAACUGGAAUUAAUACCGCAUACGCCCUACGGGGGAAAGAUUUAUCGGGGUAUGAUGAGCCCGCGUUGGAUUAGCUAGUUGGUGGGGUAAAGGCCUACCAAGGCGACGAUCCAUAGCUGGUCUGAGAGGAUGAUCAGCCACAUUGGGACUGAGACACGGCCCAAACUCCUACGGGAGGCAGCAGUGGGGAAUAUUGGACAAUGGGCGCAAGCCUGAUCCAGCCAUGCCGCGUGAGUGAUGAAGGCCUUAGGGUUGUAAAGCUCUUUCACCGGAGAAGAUAAUGACGG